rnacentral:rRNA from 1 species
AUUGAACGCUGGCGGCAUGCCUUACACAUGCAAGUCGAACGGCAGCACGGGAGCAAUCCUGGUGGCGAGUGGCGAACGGGUGAGUAAUAUAUCGGAACGUGCCCAGUCGUGGGGGAUAACGCAGCGAAAGCUGUGCUAGUACCGCAUACGAUCUAUGGAUGAAAGCGGGGGACCGUAAGGCCUCGCGCGAUUGGAUCGGCCGAUAUCAGAUUAGCUAGUUGGUGGGGUAAAGGCCCACCAAGGCGACGAUCUGUAGCUGGUCUGAGAGGACGACCAGCCACACUGGAACUGAGACACGGUCCAGACUCCUACGGGAGGCAGCAGUGGGGAAUUUUGGACAAUAGGCGCAAGCCUGAUCCAGCAAUGCCGCGUGCAGGAUGAAGGCCUUCGGGUUGUAAACUGCUUUUGUACGGAGCGAAACGGUUCUCUCUAAUACAGGGGGCUAAUGACGGUACCGUAAGAAUAAGCACCGGCUAACUACGUGCCAGCCGCCGCCGUAACAC